rnacentral:rRNA from 1 species
CGCGUAGGCGGAAUAGUAAGUUAGAGGUGAAAACCAUGGGCUUAACUCAUGGCCUGCCUUUGAAACUGCUGUUCUUGAGUGCGGUAGAGGGAAGUAGAAUUCCUGGUGUAGCGGUGAAAUGCGUAGAUAUCAGGAAGGACACCGGUAGCGAAGGCGGCUUCCUGGCCCGCAACUGACGCUGAGGCGCGAAAGCGUGGGGAGCAAACA